rnacentral:rRNA from 1 species
UGCAGUCGACGAUGAUCCGGUGCUUGCCCCGGGGAUUAGUGGCGAACGGGUGAGUAACACGUGAGUAACCUGCCCUUGACUCUGGGAUAAGCCUGGGAAACUGGGUCUAAUACCGGAUAUGACUAUCUGGCGCAUGCCAUGGUGGUGGAAAGCUUUUGCGGUUUUGGAUGGACUCGCGGCCUAUCAGCUUGUUGGUGGGGUAAUGGCCUACCAAGGCGACGACGGGUAGCCGGCCUGAGAGGGUGACCGGCCACACUGGGACUGAGACACGGCCCAGACUCCUACGGGAGGCAGCAGUGGGGAAUAUUGCACAAUGGGCGAAAGCCUGAUGCAGCGACGCCGCGUGAGGGAUGACGGCCUUCGGGUUGUAAACCUCUUUCAGUAGGGAAGAAGCGAAAGUGACGGUACCUGCAGAAGAAGCGCCGGCUAACUACGUGCCAGCAGCCGCGGUAAUACGUAGGGCGCAAGCGUUAUCCGGAAUUAUUGGGCGUAAAGAGCUCGUAGGCGGUUUGUCGCGUCUGCUGUGAAAGACCGGGGCUCAACUCCGGUUCUGCAGUGGGUACGGGCAGACUAGAGUGAUGUAGGGGAGACUGGAAUUCCUGGUGUAGCGGUGAAAUGCGCAGAUAUCAGGAGGAACACCGAUGGCGAAGGCAGGUCUCUGGGCAUUAACUGACGCUGAGGAGCGAAAGCAUGGGGAGCGAACAGGAUUAGAUACCCUGGUAGUCCAUGCCGUAAACGUUGGGCACUAGGUGUGGGGGACAUUCCACGUUUUCCGCGCCGUAGCUAACGCAUUAAGUGCCCCGCCUGGGGAGUACGGCCGCAAGGCUAAAACUCAAAGGAAUUGACGGGGGCCCGCACAAGCGGCGGAGCAUGCGGAUUAAUUCGAUGCAACGCGAAGAACCUUACCAAGGCUUGACAUGAACCGGUAACGCCUGGAAACAGGUGCCCCGCUUGCGGUCGGUUUACAGGUGGUGCAUGGUUGUCGUCAGCUCGUGUCGUGAGAUGUUGGGUUAAGUCCCGCAACGAGCGCAACCCUCGUUCCAUGUUGCCAGCACGUAGUGGUGGGGACUCAUGGGAGACUGCCGGGGUCAACUCGGAGGAAGGUGGGGACGACGUCAAAUCAUCAUGCCCCUUAUGUCUUGGGCUUCACGCAUGCUACAAUGGCCGGUACAAAGGGUUGCGAUACUGUGAGGUGGAGCUAAUCCCAAAAAGCCGGUCUCAGUUCGGAUUGGGGUCUGCAACUCGACCCCAUGAAGUCGGAGUCGCUAGUAAUCGCAGAUCAGC